rnacentral:rRNA from 1 species
UUCAAUGGAGAGUUUGAUCCUGGCUCAGGACGAACGCUGGCGGCGUGCUUUACACAUGCAAGUCGAACGAUGAAGUUCCUUCGGGAAUGGAUUAGUGGCGAACGGGUGAGGAACACGUGAGAAAUCUGCCCUUCAUUUUGGGAUAACUCCGGGAAACCGGGGCUAAUACCAAAUACUCCAUCCCGGUGGCAUCACUGGGCUGGGAAAGAAUUUCGAUGAAGGUUGAUCUCGCGGCCUAUCAGCUAGUUGGUGAGGUAAUGGCUCACCAAGGCAACGACGGGUAGCCGGCCUGAGAGGGCGACCGGCCACACUGGGACUGAGACACGGCCCAGACUCCUACGGGAGGCAGCAGUGGGGAAUAUUGGGC